UACGUAGGGUGCAAGCGUUAAUCGGAAUUACUGGGCGUAAAGCGUGCGCAGGCGGUUGUGCAAGACAGAUGUGAAAUCCCCGGGCUCAACCUGGGAACUGCAUUUGUGACUGCACGGCUAGAGUGUGUCAGAGGGGGGUAGAAUUCCACGUGUAGCAGUGAAAUGCGUAGAUAUGUGGAGGAAUACCGAUAGCGAAGGCAGCCCCCUGGGAUAACACUGACGCUCAUGCACGAAAGCGUGGGGAGCAAACAGG
rnacentral:rRNA from 1 species